rnacentral:rRNA from 1 species
CCCUUAGAUGUUCUGGGCCGCACGCGCGCUACACUGAUUCAUGCAACAAGUUUUGUCCUUGGCUGAUAGGCCUGGGUAAUCUUUGAACGUGAAUCGUGAUGGGGAUAGAUGAUUGCAAUUAUUCAUCUUCAACGAGGAAUUCCUAGUAAACGCAAGUCAUCAGCUUGCAUUGAUUACGUCCCUGCCCUUUGUACACACCGCCCGUCGCACCUGCCGAUUGAAUGGUCCGGUGAAAUCUUCGGAUCUGAGAGAUGUCUGAUUAAUUUCGGACGCCUUUUGGAAAAGUUGCUUAAACCUUACCAUUUAGAGGAAGGUGAAGUCGUAACA